UUCCGGUUGAUCCUGCCGGACCCCACUGCUAUCGGGAUAGGACUAAGACAUGCUAGUCGAGCGCCUCCCAGCCACGACGGAGGCGCGGCGCACAGCUCAGUAACACGUGGCUAACCUGCCCUCGGGACGGGAAUACCCCCGGGAAACUGGGGCUAAUCCCCGAUAGGUGAAGAACUCUGGAAUGAGUCUCCGCCCAAAAGACGCUUAAAUCAUGCUUUUAGGCGCCGCCCAAGGAUGGGGCCGCGACCGAUCAGGUAGUUGGUGAGGCAACGGCUCACCAAGCCUUUAACCGGUGCGGGCCGUGGGAGCGGGAGCCCGGAGAUGGGCACUGAGACAAGGGCCCAGGCCCUACGGGGCGCAGCAGUCGCGAAAACUUUGCAAUACACGAAAGUGUGACAGGGCUAUCCCGAGUGCCAUCCGCUGAGGAAGGCUUUUACCCAGUCUAGAAAGCUGGGAGAAUAAGGAGAGGGCAAGUCUGGUGUCAGCCGCCGCGGUAAUACCAGCUCUCCGAGUGGUGUGGAUGUUUAUUGGGCCUAAAGCAUCCGUAGCUGGCCAAGUUAGUCCCCUGUUAAAUCCACCGAAUUAAUCGUUGGAGUGCGGGGGAUACUGCUCGGCUAGGGGACGAGAGAGGCCGACGGUAUUUUCGGGGUAGGGGUGAAAUCCUAUAAUCCCGGGAAGACCACCAGUGGCGAAGGCUGUCGGCUAGAACGCGCCCGACGGUGAGGGAUGAAAGCUGGGGGAGCGAACCGGAUUAGAUACCCGGGUAGUCCCAGCUGUAAACGAUGCAGGCUAGGUGUUUGGGCGGCCACGGGCCGCUCUAGUGCCGCAGGGAAGCUGUUAAGCCUGCCGCCUGGGGAGUACGGCCGCAAGGCUGAAACUUAAAGGAA
rnacentral:rRNA from 1 species